AUUGAACGCUGGCGGAAUGCUUUACACAUGCAAGUCGAGCGGCAGCGCGGGGGCAACCCUGGCGGCGAGCGGCGAACGGGUGAGUAACAUAUCGGAACGUACCCCGUCGUGGGGGAUAACACAGCGAAAGCUGCGCUAAUACCGCAUACGACCUGAGGGUGAAAGCGGGGGAUCGCAAGACCUCGCGCGAUGGGAGCGGCCGAUAUUGGAUUAGCUUGUUGGUGAGGUAAAGGCUCACCAAGGCGACGAUCCGUAGCUGGUCUGAGAGGACGACCAGCCACACUGGAACUGAGACACGGUCCAGACUCCUACGGGAGGCAGCAGUGGGGAAUUUUGGACAAUGGGGGCAACCCUGAUCCAGCCAUUCCGCGUGAGUGAAGAAGGCCUUCGGGUUGUAAAGCUCUUUCGGCAGGAACGAAACGGCAGGCUCUAACAUAGCCUGUCAAUGACGGUACCUGAAGAAGAAGCACCGGCUAACUACGUGCCAGCCGCCGCCGUAA
rnacentral:rRNA from 1 species